rnacentral:tRNA from 1 species
GGGGUCGUGGCGUAACCUGGCAGCGUAGCAGGCUCCAGACCUGCUGGUCUGGGUUCAAAUCCCAGCGACCCCA